UAGCCUGGCCCUGAGCCAUGUAGGGCAUGGUAGCCUCCACCCACCUCUGCAUCUACAUUGCUUUAAAACUCCAGUUGUGGCAGCACUGAAGCCCCAAAACGGCCACGGCCAAGUCAGCUUCAAGGUUGACAGGAUCAACAUUUCAACACGAAACUUCCAAGAAAUCCAGGCGAAAUCUAGACGAGCUUAGAAUUGCUGAAUAGCUGAAGCACUUUGUAAAGGAAUCCAGAGCUGACCUUGGGAAAAGCAGAAGAAGGGGGAAGGGAGGAAGAAGCAAACCAUUAACUGGAAGAUUUAGCAAGCAAGAAAAACCACACGGAGUCGCAGAAGCUUGAGGAAAUUCAUUGAAUAAAUGGCAAAUAACCAGGCGGGCACCACAUAGUCUUAUUUUGUGGAGGAAAAAAUAAAAAUAAGCAAUGGAAUAAGAGCAAAACAGGAAAUGAAUGCUUCACCAGAGGCUCCUCCAACACGCAGACACAUACCUCUCACGGAUUUGAAAU